CUCUCCUGCUCUGCCAUGCAAGACAUGCCUGCUUCCCCUCUGUCUUCAGCAAUAAUUGUAAGUUCCCUGAGGCCUCCCCAGCUGUGCUUCCUGUCCAGCCUACAGAACUAGAUGGAGUCCCACUAUGUUGCUCGGGCUGUUCUCGAACUCUUGGGCUUAAACAAUCCUCCAACCUUGGCCUCCCAAAGUGCUGGCAUUACAGGCAUGAGCCACCAUGCCUGGCUUGGAGGAAACUUUAGAAUGUCUAUUUGGAAUCUCUGUAAGGAGAGAAGCAAGCAGCCCUUCCUCAGUGGGACCAGUGGGAUGUUUAAAAUUGGACUUCAUCUCUCCACACCUUAAGCUCAAGCAAACCACUGGAAGUGUGCAAAUAGCAAUCAGAUUUAGAAAUGGAGAAAUUCAUACUGGACGAAGUGUGAGAGGUAUCAUUACCGUAGGAUUAUUUUUCAGCUUCAAUUUAGCAAGCCAUGGAUGCUCAGUCAAUCCCCAUAGGCUGUGACACCAUGGACAGGGUCACAAUUGAUUGAUUCUUCCCAGGUUAACCAGGCUUCUGGGGGGCAAUAAGUUUGGAUCCAGGUGAAUGUUUGCAUGUGAGUAUGUUUAUUUUAAGAAGUGCAAUUCAUAAACAAUUAUUCUAAUAAUCACUUAUUUAAGUACCAAUGCACUCCAUUUAAUAUUUUAAUCUAAUUUUCUGUAUUUCUUUUUGAUUGAUGAAGAAAUCAAUCCUUGGAGAAAUUAAGUUGGACUUCCAAGGUCACACAACUUACAAGGAUGGAGCUGUGAUCAGAAACCACACUCAACUUUUCAUUUGCAGCUCUUCCCCCACUACAGCAUCUACCUUCCAUGGGAAUUAAUCUACCUGCAGCAUAUAGUUUAGGCUGAAGUGACAUCUGGCCCCAAAAUCGUAUUUAACAUACUAACCUCAUUGCCU
rnacentral:lncRNA from 1 species